ACGAACGCUGGCGGCGUGCCUAAUACAUGCAAGUUGAGCGAUGAAGAUUGGUGCUUGCACCAAUUUGAAGAGCAGCGAACGGGUGAGUAACGCGUGGGGAAUCUGCCUUUGAGCGGGGGACAACAUUUGGAAACGAAUGCUAAUACCGCAUAGCAACUUUAAACAUAAGUUUUAAGUUUGAAAGAUGCAAUUGCAUCACUCAAAGAUGAUCCCGCGUUGUAUUAGCUAGUUGGUGAGGUAAAGGCUCACCAAGGCGAUGAUACAUAGCCGACCUGAGAGGGUGAUCGGCCACAUUGGGACUGAGACACGGCCCAAACUCCUACGGGAGGCAGCAGUAGGGAAUCUUCGGCAAUGGACGAAAGUCUGACCGAGCAACGCCGCGUGAGUGAAGAAGGUUUUCGGAUCGUAAAACUCUGUUGGUAGAGAAGAACGUUGGUGAGAGUGGAAAGCUCAUCAAGUGACGGUAACUACCCAGAAAGGGACGGCUAACUACGUG
rnacentral:rRNA from 1 species